UGCUGCAGCUGGUGUUGUGAAUCAGGCCGACGAGCAGCGCAUCCUCUAACCCGGCUAUUUCACCACACCAGGGUUGCA
rnacentral:pre_miRNA from 1 species